AGCGAGCUUUUGCCCUUCUGCUCCACGGGAGGUUUCUGUCCUCCCUAAGACUCAGAAGAUCGGUGCAGCAGGAAUGCCUA